UGUAAAGAAUACAGGUGACUAUAAGCUAAUCAGAAAUUAUAUUAUUUUACUGUUAUUUAUAUCAUGUUUGCUGUGCCUAUGUAUUGGGGUUGAUCUGCAAACUAAGUUAUAAGGAUAACAUGUAAAUUACAAAAAUGUUUAGAAAAUGGCGAAGGCGUUUUCGCAGAAACGCAAAACAGAAUGAGCAAACAUCUCCAAGAAGUCUUUGUAAUGCUGCUUGUCACCGUGACUUAAUACAAUUUGGAUUCCCAGCGUUUAAAAUCGAGUUUGAAAAACUCCUUCGGUUAUACCAACCAGACAAUAUAGCAGACGACAGAUUUAUACGAACAGUGGUUUGCGCUUGUGAACACACCUAUCAGGCUCAAACUUUCGAUGAUUUCAAAUGGCUAGUACUCAAAAUCAAUGAUCCCGAUGGAUUAAUGAAAUUAUUUCAUGAAUUGUGUGAAUUUGGCUUAACAGUUUAUUGUGAAUAUAUAUUAUCUAUAUACAGUCAGUUUCAAUAUCGUGAUAUUUCUGACGUAGUUUAUUACGCAGUUGAAUCGUGCGAUGACGUAUGUAUAUUGUAUUUCGUGUGUGAAUUAUCUAUUAAUAAACCAGAAUUGGGUAUCGAUAUUAACAAACGAUCUGGUGCCGAUAAUUUUACACCUUUUAUGAAAGCUAUCAAGAAUAACAAAUAUAAACAUUUUUUAGUUUUAACUGAGUAUGGAUGUGAAUUGAAAUUGUUGAGGGAAAAUGAAAAACCUGUUUUCUCAUGGGGGGAACUAUUCCCUUACUUGGUUGGACCAAAAUGGAAGCAUUUCUAUUACCCACAAAGAUUUGAAAAAGCUGGUGUACGUUAUCUGCAAAUAUUGAUUGACUCCGGAAUAGAUUUAGGAAUAAACGAUAUAAAUGGGAAUACAUUGUUGGAAUUAGCACUUGAAAAACAGGUGUUGGAGUUGGCGAUCUUUCUUUUACGUAACAAUUUUCCUAUUACUGAUAAGUGUUUUGUUAUUCUCAAUAAAUAUUACUUGCCUGAAAAACCAGAAGACUUUGGUGGUAAAUAUAUAGAAUUCCAAAAACUAUACAUAAUAUACUUGGUAUCAUUGUUCAGCCGUAAGUUAAACUUUGUCAAUGGAUUGGAUGCUGUUCUAUGUUGUACGUAUAGGUCAGUACAUUCAAUUAUAGGCAUGGAUCGCUUUAUUGAAGAAUUCAACAGUUUACCAAGUUUGUUCAGUAGCAUGACUCUUAAAGAGCGAUGUAGAUUAAAAAUACGUUCUACUUUGGGAGUUCGUGUUAAUUUCGAAGCACUAAUGGAGAACUUGGGAUUACCAAGACGUCUUUUGGAAUAUAUUGUGAAUGGAAUUCAUCAAGAUACCCCAGCAUAUAUACAUACUAACAGGGAAUGAUUUUUCCAAGCGCUUAAAGAUCCCAGUUGGAAACCGAUCUAAAAGUAGGCGUAGUACCACUGUAAGGGUAACUUGCCUUCAUACUGCAUGGUGUCUUAAUUUACCCGUUUAGAAAGUAAUCUUUAUAAUAUGUAAUUAUCUUAAUCUUCAUAGCCCAAUGAUCUCAUAAUGUUAUUACAAGUAUGUCCGUUUGUUAUGUAUUAUGGUAAUACGUGACUUAGUUUCUAACCCAAAUAGUACAACGCGUUAUUUAUAUAUGAUUGUAAGUAAAUAAAAUAAGUUUAAAAUUAAGUCAAUAUUAUUUCCAGUAAUAGAAGAAUUUAGAGUCACAAAGAAGAUGUAUAAUGACAAAGUUGUUAACUAUUAUUCAUUUCAAAAUUUAAAAUUCUGAAUUGAUAGUUCUAUUGUCAUAGUGUGCAACAAACAUAAUUUAUAUUUUUGAGGUAUACUAACAAUUAAAUUCCGUCUUCAUUAGCCCAGUUCGGAGCAGAACAGUAGGACGUUAAACCCCAUUUCAUUUCUAACAAUUAAUUAAUUUAAUUAAAGCUUAACCCAUUAGGUUGCUUUCAAAUUGAUAAUCCAUGCGAUCCCGUUAAACUGCGGUUGUUACCAUGUCUUUGGGUUAUAAUGCACUCCAUUAGAAAAGGAUUGCAUUCUUUAGUACGCACGCUCAUCAAAUCUAUGAUAACCAAAAUUAGCAUAAAACCCCAGAAAGUCAAGAGGCGUUAUCAUUAUAACCUAUUGAAACAUUAAAGACAUUAUGUGUUAACAACCUAUUCUUAUUAUAUUGGUAAACAUUGCGAGAACAAGUCACAAAUACCCUAAGGGUGCGUCGCAUUGCCCUAGACAAAAUAGGGGCACGUUCUCUCUGUGAAGGAAAGUAACGUAAUCACAAGAUAUACGCGUGAUAUACAAAAAUAUGCUAUUUGAAAACAUGCAUUUGAAAAAUUUAUUCCCGCGGGCUGUUUACUGAUUUUAUACAUAUUUUUGUUUCAAAUUAUUUUUUAUGUCUUUUUACAUUGUUUUUUUUAACUCUUUUAUGGAACCUGUUUUAUUUUACUUGGUUAUUGUUAAGCGCAUCUGAACAUUUCGGUGAAAGGGGUGCUAUAUAAAUGUAUUAAAUAAUAUUAAUAUUUGAAAAGAGUUCAUUAAAUUGAAUACUCCAAUUCGACUAUGUACAUUAAACCCCCUUUUCUAAAUGAAACCGUCCAAAUAAUGACCCGAGGACAUUUGAGUAGUUUAAUAUAGCCUGCGUAGAAAAACAUUGUAAAGAGAAUAAGACACCCAGUGUAGUGAUGAUAAGGUGAAGGUCAUCAAACGACAAGAAAGACGAUUUCCAACGGUGUUUAGCGAGUUGUGCAAUAAUCAAAACAACAGAGUCAGAAGAUAGUUUAAUUUGCGAACGAAAUAAUUCCUAAGGUGGGGAGGGAGAGAAAGAGAUAAUGUACCCGAUAAUGUUCCUAGUUAAAGCAUCAGUCACCUUACUGGCGGUCAUCAAUUGUUCAGGUGUUCAUGCUUACUGUGAGAAUAACGCAAGUGUAAAGUUAUCAAGUUAUAAAUAUAAAUAUAAAAGUCAGGUAAUCGACGAUGCUUCUGACAUUAUUUCAAUGACAGUUGACCAUAGAAUAUCUAAAGCAACGUG